rnacentral:lncRNA from 1 species
GAACAUCUUACGGAUGGCCCAGGGCUCCAAAGGCUCGUUUCCUAAGUGAGAGAGAGCCUGGCUGAAGCUGUAUUACCAUUCAUUCUCCAGCCUCCGAAGUCUCAAAGCAUCACUUCCACCAUACUCUAACUGUCAAGACAAACACAAAGGCCCAGAAAGAAGAAUACACUAUCGAUGUUCCUUUUAAACAAGUAUUUGAGUAAAAGCGAUGUUUCCAAUGUGUGUCAGAAAGUGAAUACUUGUAUAUUUCCGCACGGUUAGAGCUGAGCUUUCCGAGCAAAUUUUACUGGGACCCGGUUGAAAGACAGGUCUUGGAAGUGAAAUGAUGACUGACUAGAUGACAUUACAUGUAAAUGGAAUCAUACAAUAUGUGAUCUUUUGUGACUGGCUUCUUUCACUUAGCAUAACGUUUUCAAGAAACUGCCAGACUGUCUUCUGAAGUGGCUAUAAUAUUUACACUCCCAUCAGCAGUGUAGAAGGGGUCUCACUAUGUUGUCUGGAGUGCUGUGGUGGAGUGGAGUGGCUAUUCACAGAGCCUGUUCUGCUGGGACACAGAAUCACUUGCUCCAUCUCAUACAUUGAUGAUGAUUAAUUUGUAUGUGUACCUUCCAAAAAAGAUGGUUGUGUUUGAAUGGAGGCCUUCUGGACAGGAAAAUAUGGAGAGUGCGUGCUUUGGAUUCAAGACUGGGAAUGAGGGGACCAGAAACCUAUUCUGUGGCUGUUUCUUGUUAGGACUUUCCUAAGCCUCUGGAAAAGUGCAAAGUACAAUUAACAUUUGAGUCUGUCUGAGUCAUGAAGAAAUGGAGAUUACUGAAAAUAAUUCAUUUUGGUAUCUUCUUACAUCCUGAGAGACUAAUCUUUCCAAGUUCAUCUGAGGCUCCUCUUCUCCAUGACAACCUCAUCCAGGGAUUUCUUCCUGUCCUGGUGUUUUAUGACAUGUGGAAGGGGACUGUAGCAGGUGAUCUCCAAAGUCUCUGGAGACUUACUAAUGUGCAUCCUCAUCUCGCUUGUAAGGAUAAUAGCCUUCCUCCAAACCUCACACACUUUUGGAGGAGAUCACUUUUUUUAAAGUGCAUGGAAAUGUUUUGAAACAGUGAAAUCUAUAAUGAUAGGUUUCAUAAUUCUAACAUCCACACCAUAUGAAUCACAUCCUUCCUGAGAUAAUGAGCACACAAUUGCCUGGAUACCUGAAGGAAUGGAGACAGCGGCAGAAAACACUGCAGAGAGGUGGAAACAUCCGUUAAUAUUUUAAAAUCCCAUUACUGCUACCAACAAUAAUAAUGGAUGCAUAGAAAUAGAUCUGGAUUAGCUGAGCUUGAAACAGUCCAUCUCACACACACACAAAAGAAUUUCAGGUAAUGAAGAAAAGAAAAGGAAAAAAAUAA